AUUAACACUAUGAAGGAAAAGCGUUAGUUUUUCCAUUAUGUUGAGAAAUUACAUUUUACCCUUCUUUUCUUCCUCCAUUCUUAUUCUUCUUUUUCAGAAGUAGAAUGUUAUUUUAUAAAAUUCAAACAUGCAGUCUAGGUUGGUUGGCUAAAUAUCUUAUUACCCAUUUAUUUUUGUAAGAAAUUCUGAUCUGGGUCUUAAUAAUUCCCUUCUUCUAAUACGAAAGGGUUUUGCUUUGGAUUUCUUUUAGCAUUUUAACUCAGGGAUGGGGAAGAAUACAAUAUUGAUUCCUGCUGAUGAAAUUGUUUUGAGUGCAGUCAAGUAUGAGUAUAAGCAAAUUGAUGUCGCUCUUUGACACCGGUGCCGACAGUCAAAAUUCAUUUUUGGUUUUUACAGCUUCAGCCGACAAACAAGAACAAUUAGUGGUAUUCUUCUCUGUCUUAUUUUUGUAUUUUUGUGGGUUUGCUAUUCGUUUCUCAUUGAUUGGAACACAAAGGAACUCAGAUGUUGUUUUCCGGUCUAUGAUGGACGAAAGAUCUUAACAGGGGCGGAUUCAGGCCAUGGCAAUGCUGUCAAGUGACAGCAUAUGAUCAUGAUAGAGUUGGUAAUGAAACUUAUCUUUCAUUCCCGAGACCAGAGAUCUAGCCUUGCAUAGUGCGUACUUUAAACCAUUUUUUUUAAUUUUGGGUUUGAAAAACUGAUUUAGAGUUUUCAUUCACUCCUUCCUCGUCCCUGGAUCUUAAUAUGGUGUUGAGCAUUCAAUUUGUUAUUACCUGAUAUUCUAUGCUACAGUAUCUCCUUUUUUUAGAUUUCAAUUCUUGUGUUUUUCUUACCUAUUUGUGGUCAUUGCCCAUUUUUUAUAUUGCUCGAUUAAUCAUUAUACUGAUUUGGGAUUGAUUAACAUUUUGUUUCACCAUUAUUACUCAUGAGUACUCUUUGCUAUGAACUUUACUAACAACACCUAAAGCGUUGCUUCAAAUUCAAAAUCUAAUUUCUAUUGCACUUAUUAUCACCGUGGUGGACAUAAUGUGGACUAUUGUUGGGCAAAACAUGGUUUGCCUGUGUGGUGGAAAAAUAUAUAUUCUCAUAGUAAUAACAACCGCGAAUCUCCUAGUUCUUCUGAUAACAUUUUGGAUAUUUCUUCAGCUCCGGGAUCUUUUUGCAGUUCACAUUAUCCUGAUUAUUUAUGUAGUGAGUCCACUACCUCUUGGCUACUUGAUUCGGGUGCAUCUCAUCACGUCAUUGGAAAUCGUCUUACUACUUCACGCUUGUGAUUUUACCCAUUGUUCAAUUGGUCUUCCGGAUGGCAAGCAAGUUCUCUCCACUGUACAGGGUGAAGUGUAAUUGUGCACCAAAGUUAUUCUUAACAAUGCGUAUUAUCUGCCCUCUUUGACAGCUUAUUAAAAUGUUGGUUGUAUUUUCACUUUUACUGAUACAUUGUGUGUCAUUUAGGACCAACACUUGAGGACUUUGAUUGGACUAGGUGAACGAAGAGAUAGACUGUACUACUUUCGUGGACAUACCUGAAACACGUGUAUUGCCUAUUACUGAGUGUACUUUUGAUUUUUGGCAUCAACGACUUAGGCAUCCUUCGAAUAAAGUAGUGCGAUCCCUUCCCUUUUUUGUUAAAAGUUCCCUACAACUGUUAAUAACACUUGUGAUGAAUGUCAUCAAGCAAAACAUUCUAGAUCUCCCUUUCCUAUCAGGUGAAAGUAGAGCUACUUUCACGGUUUGAGAUUAUACAUUGUGAUUUACUGGGAAAAUAUCAUACUCCUUCCUGUGGCGCAUCUUAUUUUCUCACUUUAGUGGAUGAUUAUUCUAGGGUUGUUUUGGUUUAUCUCCUUUUUGACAAAACAGAAAUUACUACGAUGUUUAAGUCAAUCUUUUCUAUGAUUGAGAGGCAAUUUAAUGCCAAAGUUAAAGUGAUUCGUAGUGAUAAUGGUACAAAGUUCAAUGGUAUGCGUGAAUUUUUUUCAGACAAUGGCAUUUUACUUUAAACUUCAUGUGUAGAUACACCACAACAAAAUGGGAGGGUUGAACGCAAGCAUCGCCAUAUAUUGAAUGUUGCCCGCGCUUUGCGUUUUCAAGCUAUUCACCUCUACAUUUUUGGGGUGAUUGUGUUUUGGAUGCUAGUUAUAUUAUUUGUCGAACUCCAUCCUCCGUGAUUGACUUUAAAGCUCCAUAUGAAAUUUUAUUUGGCAAGCCUCCUUCCUUUGAUGACAUGCGUUGUAUUGGGUGCUUAUGUUAUGCUCACGAUCACCGUUCAUAGAGAGAAAAAAUUUCUAGUAGGAAUAUUUGAUGACGUGCGUUGUAUUGUAGCGCAAUGUAUUUUUGUUGGGUACCCUCAAGGUAAAAAGGGUUGAAAAUUAUAUGAUCCUAAGACGGGGGAUUACUUUGUUUCUAGAGAUGUCCAUUUGUAUGAGCAUGAAUUUCCAUUUGCUCAUCCUUUUCUACUGCCCUUGCACAUAUUGUUGCCCCAAACUUGGAAGAACUUUCAUAUCAUGACAUUAUUGAAUCUUCUCAUGAUGCAUACAUUGGUUCACCCUACAUCGAGUUAUCUACAGUUCCUGGUUCAACAGCUAGUGAAGUGGUUGUUGCUCCUUUAGUUGGGCCAGAUGUGAUUGAAACUUCUAGGGAAACCAGGAUCAAUAAUACGGAUGAGAUUUCUGGUGAGUUUACUAUUAUGCAGGCGGAAGAUUUGGCUACUGUGCCAGUGCAUAAUUUGGGCCACAAUGACAUUAUUUUGGAUGGUUUGGAAACUACUGCUUCUUCUGAUCGUGUUUUGAGGGAUGAGGUUGUGGCCACUCCUAUUAUUCUAGAUUCUGAUGAUAAAGGAAUAGGCAAACACAUUUGGUAUCCUUCCACAAAGCUAUGAGGUUAUGUCACCAACACUAUACAUAAAGUUAGUCCUCCUUCUUCUCCAUUACCUAGUUCUGGUUAGUCCUCUGGUACAUCAUAUCCUAUAACACACUAUAUUAAUUGUGAUUGCUUUUCAAUGGCCUAUAAAAAAUAUCUUGCAGCAGUAUCUAGCAACUUGGAGCCUCGGUCUUUCAAAGAAGCUAUGAAGGAUCCGGGGUGGCAAGCUGCUAUGAAAAAAGAGAUCCAAGCUUUAGAAGAAGAUGGUACUUAGUCUAUUACUACUCUUCCUCCAAGUAAGAAAGCUCUUGGUAGUCAGUAAAUCUACAACAUAAAGUACAGCUUAGAUGAUAGCGUUGAAUGUCUCAAAGCUCGCUUAGUUAUGUUUGGUAAUCAUCCGAUUGCAGGCAUAAACUCCACUGAUACGUUUGCGCUAGUGGCCAAGAUGACCACAAUUCGAGCUUUUCUUUCUAUGGUCGCUGCGAAAAAUUAAGACUUGCACCAAAUAGAUGUUCACAACGCCUUUUUGCAUGGUGAUUUAUUUGAAGAUGUGUAUAUAAGUUUGCCUCUGGGAUUUCAAGGUGGUCAUUCUUGUAAGAUUUGUCAUCUACAAAAAUCUUGAUAUGGUCUCAAAUAGGCACCCCGACGUUGGUUUGCCAAGUUAGCCAACUCUCAUCGAGAGUAUGGGUUUCGCCAGUCUUACUACAACUAUUCUCUUUUUACAUAUCAAAAGGGUGCAACUCAAUUGAAUGUCCUUAUCUACUUGGAUGAUCUUAUUUUUUUUGUUAAUAAUUCCGCUACUCUUCUAAAUUUUAAACAAUACUUGUGUUCUUGCUUUCACAUGAAAGAUCUUGGGAUCUUAAAUUAUUUUCUGUGAAUAGAAGUUUCUAGAAAUUCAGAGGGCAUUUAUUUAUGCUAACGUAAAUAUGCUUUGGACAUCAUUUCUAAAACGGGUAAUCUUAGUUCCAAACAUGCAUUUGUUCCGAUGAAACAUAACCAUAGGCUUAUGCAGUCUAAUAGUCUUCUUCUUGAGAAUGUUCAGCAAUAUUGGCGGUUGAUUGGUCGUUUAAUUUAUUUGUCUUUUACUCGACCUGAUUUGGCAUAUUCAGUGCAUGUGUUGUCUCAAUUUCUUCAUGCUACUUGACAUGACAUUGGGAUGUUGCUAUUCGUGUUGUUUGUUACCUUAAUGGUUGUUUGUGUCAAAAAAUUCUUCUUAGCUCUAUUGUGACUUGUCUUUUUCUGGUUGGUGUGUUUCUGAUUGGGCAGCAUGCCCUCUUACUCGUCGUUCUGAGAUGGGGUGGUUAAUCUUUCUUGAGCAAUUGCCUAUUUCACGGAAGACAAAGAAAAAAAUUACCGUAUCUAGAUACUAUGCUGAAGCCGAGUACCGUUCUAUAGCUGCACUAACAUGUGAACUUAAAUGAUUGAAGGGUUUGCUUAUGAGCUUAUGGGUGCAUCAUCCAAAAGCCAUGAAGUUGCAUUGUGAUAGUCGAUUUGCUCUUUAUCUUGCUCAAAACUCAGUAUUUUAUAAACGCACGAAACAUAUUGAAGUUGAUUGUCAUUUUGUUUGAGACACCAUUCAAGAAGGUCUUAUAAGUCCUUCUCAUAUUCUCAUUGGUACACAAUUGGCAGACAUUUCACCAAGGCGUUGGGCUAUCCUCAGUUUCAAUUCCUUCUUUGCAAGUUGGGUAUUUGUGAUCUUCGUGUUUCAACUUUAGGAGAGUAUUAGGGUUGUAUAGUAUUUAUUAUAAUUUAUUGGGCCAUUGUAUAGCCCAUCUUCCUAAAAAUAUAUACUCAUUUUGUCAAUAAGAAAACCCAAGGGAAAAACAUUAUUCCAACACAAUUGUGAUUAUGUGCAGCACAUAUAAUGCAAGUAUGGAAUGAAUGUGAGGCAGGUUUAAAGUGAUGUAUAUACCGAGUUGGCCAUAGUGGACGGAGAUGUGUUUUAUUACAUAACCAAUUGGGCAAGCAUGGGUAUGAAUAUUUUACCCGACAUAGGUAGCGAGUUGGUGGUGGAUAUGAAAAUUUUAGGUAGAUAUGAGAAAAGGAAAAAACAUAUUGCACCCGUUUGCCCAUUUUACUCCACACUACUAAUGACAAAUAAGACUUUUCAUACUUAUACCCACUCACUAUUCAUCUAAUUUUUCCAUUAGAGUGGAUGUGAUUCAAAACCCGUAAAAAUAUACCU